rnacentral:rRNA from 1 species
UACAGAGGUCCCAAGCGUUGUUCGGAUUUACUGGGUGUAAAGGGUGCGUAGGUGGCGGGGUAAGUCUGGUGUGAAAGCUCCGAGCUUAACUCGGAAAAGCAUUGGAAACUAUCCCGCUGGAGGGUCGGAGGGGAGACUGGAAUUCUCGGUGUAGCAGUGAAAUGCGUAGAUAUCGAGAGGAACACCAGUGGCGAAGGCGAGUCUCUGGACGACUUCUGACACUGAGGCACGAAAGCUAGGGGAGCAAACAGG